GUUUCCACAGGAGCUGAGCUAAGUUGCGUUGCGAGGAAUGUGUUUUACAAGUACCAAUAGAAUCGUUGCGCUGAAUGUUGCCAGGCAAAUGAAGCGUUUCUAUUGGUUCUUAAAAAGACACUAACUAUUUGACCGAGCUUUGCUCGGAUUC